CGCGUAGGCGGUUUGGUGAGUCUCGACCUAAAUCUCAUCGCUCAACGAUGAAAUCAGUUGAGAUACUGCCAAACUAGUGGAUGGCAGGGAUAAGCGGAAUUCCCGGUGUAGGGGUAAAAUCCAUUGAUAUCGGGAGGAACACCAGUGGCGAAGGCGGCUUACUAGGCUAUCUCAGACGCUGAGGCGCGAAAGCGUGAGGAGAGAACGGGAUUAGAUACCCCGGUAUUUCACGCCGUAAACUAUGCUGACUAGCUAUAGGGAGUAUCGACCCUUCUUGUAGCGAAGCUAACGCGUUAAGUCAGCCGCCUGGGGAGUACGGUCGCAAGACUAAA
rnacentral:rRNA from 1 species